rnacentral:lncRNA from 1 species
CCCUUCCGUUUCUUCGCCUUUUCUUUCAGUUUGUGGAUGCUCUCUGGAGCCCCAGAAGUGCAAGAAUGAAUAACAAAGAUAACAGUUACUUAUAACAAUAGUCUGUCUCCGAAAACAUCAUCUGAAGGCAGUCCCACCACCUCCAGUCCCAUUCCCUUCCCGGUCCCUCCCCCAUUCCUCCCGAAGGGGGCGCAGUCUCUAAUCCAACCGAAACCUGGUUCCCCGACUCCCAUCCUCCCUGCCGGGCAGGAAUUGUUUUCCUAUUACAUCCUUCUCUCGCACCUUCCCCGCUUCCCGCAGCAGCCUCCACUGUCCUCACCGUCCCCAUCCUCAUCCAUGGCGAAAUCCUCGCCCCCGGCCUCAUGAAGAUCCAGCACGUCCGCCAUCUUGCCUCCCUUCUUGCUCUCGUCCGUGCCGCUCAGGCACUAGGCACCUCGGGAAACUGUCGCGGAGGGGAAAGGUCGCUAGUCAAGUUGACCAAUCAAAAGCUAAGUCUAAGUCCCGCCCCCGGCGCAGCGAAAAUACGCAAUGGAGGCGGGCCUUAUUCGGGAAGAUGCCGGAAGUGUUCCUGUAGCCAUCUUGAGCAAGUGGUCAGCUGAACAGAGUGGCACUGUUAGGGACAAGGUAACGGGUGGCUGCAGGCAGUGCCCUAUUAAGUAGGGCAGCCGAGGAGAAAUACUACUGCCAGCGGAGCACAGCCGAAUUUCUUUAUUAGAGGAUUGUGUACCGUCUCCUUGGACUCCGUACCAAAUGGAAGUUUGAAGAACGUUUUUUCUCUCAAAACUUCUAGACCUGUAUCCUGCUCUGAAGAGCAGCUGGAUCUGUGAUGGAAACAUUUUAAAAAUAGUUCAGUCCGUAAUGCUGGGUACUGAAGCUGUUUCUGGCUCGUACUGCAGCACCGAAUAUCUCUUAACACUAACAGACCUGGUUGUCCGGGAACUAGCAUUGGUGACACGGGUGUCAACUUCUUAAAAUUUUUUUUGUUGUUAUAAUUUUUUUAAGAUAAACUCUCAAACUCUUCCCACCACCUCUGGGGAUUAAAAAACAAAACAAAAUCAUGGCUUUGAACAAAAUGGGGGCUUUAACCUCUUUGGGAAUGGUGCGUGUAUUUCAUGUUUAAAAACCUAGGCGUUGAAAAAACAAACAAACCUAGGAGUUGAGGCAAAACCCAUAUUGCCCCCAAAUUCUGGAAUCCUGAUGUAAGUAAACCUUUAACAAUAGUGGACUGCAGAUUCAUUUAUUUAUUAAUUUUUUAAUCAAGCCGUUAUGUGACUUUAAUAUUAGAGAAAGUGUGGGCAAUACAAGGCAAAAUAAUCUCAUUAUCAACAAUCACUUUAUAACUACAUUAUGAAAGUGAUAAUUGCUACGACAAAGUGUAAUGGCAGUACAAAGAAAGUUUCUAAUAGGACUGGGAGUAAGAAGGGCUUCCAUUUGAACUGGGCCUUUAAGGCUGGGUAGUUUUCCAGGCCACGCAGCUGUACUGAGAAUAGGAGACACUAAUCCAUUCUCCACAGUAAGUAGUGUGAUCCUUGAAAAAAAAUCAGCUGGUCAUAUCCCUAACAAAACCCUUCCUUGACUUUUUCACUUGGGAAUAAAAUUUGAACUGCCUACUCUGCCUAUUUACAACGACCUCCAUUACCAUUCUGCCUUCUUAUUAAGCUCUCCCUACAUUUUCCCUCAACUGUGCUGUCUCUUUCCCACCUCAGGACUUUUGCAACUUUCUGUUCCUGAUGCUCUUAUUCCAGCUCUUCACAUGGCUCAUUCAACUUCAUCCUUUAGGUCUCCCUAAAAUACUACUUUCUCUACUUUCCUGUCCUUCACUCUUGUUUAUGUCCUUCACAGAACUAGCUUACUACCUUGUUUACUUUCUGACUCGUUUAUUGUCUGAAUUCCCAUUAGAGUGUAAUCCUUAUGGCAGAGACCCUUAAUUACAACAAUAUCCCCAAAGUUUAGACCAGUGUCUAGCUCACAGUAGACAUUUGAUACAUGCUUAUUGAAUGAACAAAUAUCAGAAUGGCAAGAAAUUGUUUGCCUGAUGCUGUGUGGCUAGGAAAUAAAGCUAGAAGUACAGGUUAGGGCCAAAAUGUAUGCCAUGCUAAGGAUAUUGAAAUUUUAUCCCGUAGGCAAGAAUUUCUGUACUUCAAGUAUUUGAGUAUUCAUGAUUUUUCACAACUGUAAAUAGUCCCCAUGCUGUUUCUUGAUUAGUGUUUCUCCUUAUGUAGACUGACUUUUUAAUUAAACAAAUUUUCACUAAAUUUAAAUAUCACUGCCAUAAAUGUAAAAUCUGUAUUUUUUUCUACUACAGUUUCCGAUUAAAAUAUAAAAUAAGUAAAAAUGAAAAAUGUUUGCCCCUCUACCACCUAAAAUCAUCUCAGGUAAUACCAAGGGUUCCCAUAUAAAACUUCGGGGAAUGCUGUUAAGGACAAGGAUAGCUAAGUGAUGGUUUAAGCAAGGUAGUGGUGCACUCCUAAGUAUUUUAGAAAGAAAUCUGACAGUAGUUGAGAGGAUGUUAAGAAUGAAGGCAGAGGCUGGUAAGGAAGCUAUUGCAGUGGUCCAGCCCAGAGAUGAUAAAGGACUGAACUAAGGCAGUGGAUAUGGACAAGACAGAUUAGGAAGUUUAUAUAGGAGGUAAACUCAACAGCAAGUGACUGAUUAGAUCAUGGUAAGGAAUGGACCUAAGGUUCUAAUUUAAGUAACUGGGUAGAUAAUAAUCCUAAUAACAGAUUUGGGGAGUCAAAGAAGAGCAUGUAUGAAAUGGCUUUUAUUUUGAAUAUGUGACUUCAGAGAGCUUGUGUCAUAAAUUCAGGUGGUGAGGGGCACCUGGGUGGCUCAGUCGGUUGAGCGACCAACUUCAGCUCAGGUCAUGAUCUCACUGCUUGUGAGUUCAAGCUCCACAUGCAGCUCUGUGCUGACAGCUCGGAGCCUGGAGCCUGCUUCGGAUUCUGUGUCUCCCUCCCUCUCUGCCCCUCCCCUGCUUGCUCUCUCUCUCUCUUUCAAAAAUAAAUAAACAUUUAAAAAUUUUUAAAAAUAAGAUAAAUUCAGUUGGUGAUGUCAUGGAAAUAUAGAUGUAAAAGCUCAAAAGGGUGAAAGAGAUUGAGAAUGGUGUAUAAGAUAGAGUUGAAGUCACCAUGGUGAGUGAGUUCGCUAGUGGAAAUGGGUAGACCUUGAAAAGAAAGGGUCAGUGACAAAAUCCAGGUUCCUCAAAUGUCUGAAGGGGAAGCAGAAUGCCUUCCCCCAACAGUACAAUCUUAUUUCUGCCACCCAAAAAAUACUAAUCAAAAUUAUCUUUUAGUCUGUUUAUAAAAGAAAGGGUCGUUUUAGAGUUCCUCUGAUACAUAUGUCUUAAGAAAGAGUCAAUCUGGCUCACUAGACAAAAAUCUAUUUUUAAUUGUAUAAAAUUAUACAUAUAAAAUACAUAGAAAGUAGUAAAAAGAUAAGCAAAAUCUUUAACAAUGAAAGUGGACAGAUCAGGGAACAAUUUUUCUCCAGUGCUUUGGGAUCUUAACUGGUUGUUACUUGAGAAAAAUAAUCCAGGAGGUGCAAAGGAGAAGUUCUUCCCACAACUCACACCCCUUCACACUUCUCAGAGAAAGGAGCAUAGGAGAAAUGAGGGUUUAUGAUGUCUGGAUUAUAAAUAUCAAUAAAAACUGGGUAGACAUACCUGUUAUUUAACAUAGGAGCCUCUACUCCUACCCUACAUGUGCUUCGUGGUAUACAGAGAUGGGACUUGGAGAAUUCCAGGAGGUCCCUUUCGAGCACUAAAACAGUUGCUAGAUUCCUUACCACUGAUCCCAUAUGUACUGAUCACCAAGAUGAUUUCAAAAGCAAAAAAGCUGAUUUUCAUCUUAUCCCUGUCUGAUCCAAAAGAGCAAAUUGUGGCUUAUUUCCUAACCUAUUUCUAAAAACAAAGUGUUUAAUCAUAGAAUGGAAAGUCCAAUUUUGCAGAAACAGGAAACGUCCCAACACAUUUUAGAAAGUGCACCGAACUAUAAUAUAGUAUAAAGGAGUUUAUAGAAACAAAGGGAAAACACAUCUUUGAGAGACCUAUAAAAAAUUCUCCCAAAGAGGAAUGCUUUAGCUGUACUCCAGAUAUUUCUCCCCUAUUUCACCCAGGAGAGAGAUUGGGGGUGGGAGGCGGAGAGUCUUAAAAACACAGUUGAUCAUGUAGUCUCUUUUCCCUCCUGCAGUCUCCCCAGGGUUCCAGUUAGGAAGUGCCAUAAUGCCAGUCGCAACUAAUUUUCUUGAUCAACUCCUGCUCUAAUAACCAACGUGGAAGAAGAGGAAAGAAAAGAGAGAAAACAACUGUGAAUCUAUGGACAUCAAAGGUAGCAAACAGCAGCAACUUUGUGAGAGAGGAACACGGCCCUCACCAAAGAGGACAAAUAAUGUUUCCAAAGAGCAACAUGAAGGGAAGAGACAGAGUUGGGAAAUAUGUUUACCUCCUACCCAUUUCUGCAGACAGGAAGGUUUAAACACAGGGCUCAGUGAAGCUGGGUGAGCAGAGAGGAAUGAAGAGGGAAUAUUGGAAGAGGCUUCAAUGCUGAUCCCUUCUGGAGCAAGAACACACCCGGGAAGCUGGUAUGGUAUCUAUGCCCCAGAAGCAACUUAGGUGAUAAACACCUAGUUUUGUGUUUAUAAUUCCUCUCUUCUUCCUGGGAAGUUUCUCAGGAAUAAUUUGAACAAGCAGCUGUCUACUUCCUUCCAAAUUAAUAAAGGAAGUCUCAAAAUGAAGUACCGCUUGGAGGCAGAGGAGGAGUAAGGGAGUGGCGGGAAGCGGUUGGUGGGGAGUCUAGGCAAGGAAAUGUCUAGUCACUGGAGGAACAGCUCAGUACUAAGUAGGCCCAACUCAAGAUAAACUUAAGCCAAAGCCUUCAUACUCGUACCCUGUUUGGAGUCCAAGAGAAAGCAGGAAUGAGGUUGAGGGUGAGGGUGGGGCACACAGACCUUAUUCAAACUCCCUGUUAGAUUAUAAGAACACUUUGUCAAUCAUUUUGUGCUAUUGAAAUGACUACACAGAGCUGGGAGUAUAAGCACCAACAAAGCUCUGAAGACAGCCUGCUCUUUUUACAAAGUGGAAUGAGGAUGUUUCAAAGGAAACUACAUCCAAAAACUAGAAGAAAAGGGAUCUCUCAGCAAAUUGGGAUCUGAGUGUAGAAUUUAUACAUAUACAUAUAUAUAUCUAUAUUUUAAAGUAUAAAAUUGAGAAAGUAUGUACAGAAAUCAUACUAAGUCUUAGAAAAGACAUUAUCAAAAAGAGCCUGGAGAGGAUGGGGAGUAUGUGCAUGGACGCCUAGCAGUUGGAGGAAUGCAUAUUGCCCAACUGCCCAGCGGCCAGCAGGAGAAUAUCUUUCUUCUCCUUGUGGAAGCGCAGCUCCUUGCCUGCCAGCCGAGCUUCGUCCAGCUCCCGCUCAGUAGAGGCCAGCUCUCUAGACAGUGCCCCUGGCACACUCUGCUCCCGGCUCACCCAGUCCAAUGCCAUUUGAUGGCGAAUAUCAUCAUCCAGGGCCCGGUGUGAAUAAUGAGCCAACACUUCCUGCAAGGGGAAAGGAAAAUGAAGGUUACUGACAAAGUCAAGGUUCAUACCAAAUGGACCCAAUGGGAUGAGGAACUCUUAGCCUUGGAGUCCUAACUGAAGUCAGCACGUAAGUCCUUUAAGGAGAUUCUUAAGGGAAACUUCCCCGUGGGGGAAGCAAGGCAGGCAAAAGAGCUACAGUUAAGAUCUAAAUAGGAAAGAUGUUAGGAAUGAAGAGGGUACUUUGAGGCUUUCAGGAUUCACAACCUGGUAACUAUAGGCCUGCUUAUGUCUAACAUAACAGCCACCUCGAAAUAGUCCUUCUGCAAGACUCCUCUCACAGACAGGGUCUCUUACCUGCCGAGAGCACUGUCUCUCCCUCAUGGCCUUAAGGCUGCCAUUCCAGUGCAGCAGCUGAAAAACUGUCAUUAGUUCCUGGAGGAAGAAGACAUGAAGUGCCAGAACAGUGAUUUAUAUUGAGGGUUUGCAUCACAAUUACAUGGGGGACCUUUUACAGAAUGUAUUUACGUAAGCAUCUCUUUUUUUUUUUUUUUAAUUUUUUUUUCAAUGUUUAUUUAUUUUUGGGACAGAGAGAGAAAGAGCAUGAACGGGGGAGGGGCAGAGAGAGAGGGAGACAGAAUCGGAAACAGGCUCCAGGCUCUGAGCCAUCAGCCCAGAGCCCGACGCGGGGCUCGAACUCACAGACCGCGAGAUCGUGACCUGGCUGAAGUCGGACGCUUAACCGACUGCGCCACCCAGGCGCCCCUAUAAGCAUCUCUUAUACCAACUCUGAUGUGCCCUUCAGGGAAGGAAGGUAUUUAUAUAUUGAAAAAUAUUCUAACCUUCUCUCCCUUCCCUUCCAACUGAUGAUCAAUGAGUUAGGGAUUAGAAGGAAAUAUAAUUAAUAUAAUAUAAUAUAAUAUAAUAUAAUAUAAUAUAAAUGCAGGUUGAUCCAUGUUAUGAGAGCCAUAGUACCUGGAACUCCAACAUUGACUUGCCCUUGUUGGAUUCCAGCAUGAAUCGGAAGGCACCAAUCCCUGUGUUUGGGUUGUCAGCUUCCUCCCUGUUGCCCUGUAACAGAGGAAAGGAAAAGACAAAUAGAUUUUCAAUCAGGAUUAUCACCUCAAGCAGCACUGUCCUGUAGAAAUAUAACGCAAGCCCCCAAUCUAAUGUAACAUUUUCUAGUUGCCACGUUAAAGUAAAAAUAAACAGGUAAAAUUAAUGUAAAUAGCAUGUUUUAUUUAAGCUAAUAUAUUCAAAAUAUAAUUUAGCUAUACUUAGCAUAAAAAUUUUUCAUGAAAUUUUUACAUUCUUUUUCUUAUACCAGGGUUUCAAAAUCUGAAGUCUCUUCCACAUUUACAGCACAUCUCGAUUCAUACUAGCCACAUAUCAGGUGUUUAACAGCUACAUGUGGCUGGUGGCUAUUCUGCUGGUCAGCAUAGACCUAGAAGACUCCAAAGUCAUCACACAUAUUAACUCAAGUGACAGAGGUCAAUCUGAUUUUCCCUAUCUUACAAAGAGGGAACACUGAAACAUAGAGAAGAACCCCGAUUUAGCCAAAAUAACAGAGUGAGUCCAACACACAGGAUUGGACUAGCCUAGAGGAUAAUUGGGCAAAUGCAUUUUCAAGGGAAACAGUAGGAGCCAUAAAGCAUAGUAAAUUCUGGGUAGCAGUUUGGCCUCUUAGACAUUUGGCUUGUGUGUUCUAGUGGUUACAUGACCCUGUGGGGAUAGAACUAAGAUUCAUUGCCUGUGCAAACAAACAAUACGGUAUAGACUGGAUCUCCUACUAAUCUUGAGGCCUUGGGGAAGUCAUUUAACCUCUCUGUUCCUGUUUCCUCAUCUGUAAAAUGGGAAUAAUCACAGAUCUAUCUCCUAAGAUUGUUUUGAGAAUUAAAUAAGAAAUUAUUUAAAAAGGGAUAAAUGUGGUUUUAAAACUCCAAUUAUAUAAAAUGUGGUACAUUAUUAUACUAGACUUGGUAUCCAGUUACACAAUCCAAAUCCAUUCUGGUACUGGCUUUGGUUUAGUGGUACUUGAUGGUGGUUUAGUAUUACUGGGGAUAAUUCCAGACCCUGGGGCUGGCUGGGACUUCCAAAAUAAGGGUAGCUGCUAUUUUUUUUUGGUGACCUUUUUGUCAGCCUGAUCUAGGAAAAUAAAACCAGGAGACUUCUGGGAACACAGGAACCCAACUUUCUCCUUCUACUUCCUGACAAGUUGCCUGAUCUUUCUAGCCCAUUCUGCACCACCGUCCCUGCUCCACGCCUCCCAAGAUUCUGCUCUCUUUGAGAAAGGGGACUAGGUAGAAGUGAGGAGCCAAUCAAGUUAUAUCCAAAUUCAGUUUAUUAUGGGGCACUUCUCCAUGGGGCUGUACUGUAUAUGUAUUAUAAUAAUUCCAUGUGCUUAGUAAGUAUACCAUAUGUGCUGGCUUAUUUGUUUUCACUCUGCUAGAAUCAACAAGAAGUCACACAAGAUCAACCCAUAUUAUUUUGUGGCUUCUGAGAAGCAACAUGCCAACCAGUAGUUAAUCUUCAUGGUGAAGCAAAGAACACAAAAUUUGGAUUUAAAAAAGAAAAGCUACAGAGAGGAAGGAAAAAGGUAACCUUCACUAUUAGCAUUUAGGGCCCUGAAGCAAUUAACCUGUUUCAUGGUUGCCUAUAAUCAUUCAAUAUGGUACCUUAUUCAGUACCUCCAGAGUUUUCCAUGAUAUAGUACAUAGAAAGUAAUGAUUAUCUCUGUACAGCCAACUGGGGUAUACAGAAGAAGCUGCGGGCAGAGGAGCCCAUCUAUCCCAGGCCUUGCUCUUGGACAGAGCAUGAGCAGCGGAGGGGCAGAGAAAGAGAGGGAGACACAGAAUCUGAAGCAGGCUCCAGGCUCUGAACUGUCAGCACAGAGCCCGAGGCGGGGCUCGAACUCACAAGCCAUGAGAUCAUGACCUGAACCGAAGUCAGACCCCCAACUGACUGAGCCACCCAGGUGCCCUGAAAUCAAUGUGAUUUGGAGUAUGGCGAUUCCACUGGGAAAUUAAUGAGCAAUCUAUUAAAUUCUCAGUUUUGAGGGGUUAGGCAAAUAGAAAUAUUGGCAGAGAAUAAAAACAAUUUGUUUCCUAAACACUUUGUAGUAGACACUGCUGGUGACUUAGCCGACAUCUGUUUCCUUCUUCCUUACUAUAGAACCUUAAUCUUGUUCUACUACCUACCAUCUCCCAUGUAUCUCCCUCAGGGAAGAGUGAUUUUAUCCUCUAAUUUCAGUGGGUAAAUCCUAACCCAUUUUGCUUGUAAUUGGUUUUAAGGUGGGAAUUCUGGCCAUUAGGAAGUAGAAGGGAGGUCUACUGGCGGGUUUCUGGGAGAAGAUUCCUUACUACUAAAGAGGUACUAAAAGAAGGUCUCAGGGCACCUGACUGGCUCAGUUGGUAGAGCAUGCAACUCAAUCUCAGGGUCUUGAGUUCAAGCCCCACAUUGGGUGUGGAGCCUACCUACUUAAGAAAGAAAGAGAGAAAGAAAGAUGGUGUCUUUCUGUCUUUGAAUAUGGUUACAUCUGUAUUUAAUAUCUGAAAUUCUGUAGUCAUCUUGCACCCUUGCAUCUGAAGGGAGCCAGCUCAAGGACAAAGACAGUAUCUAGAGGAUGGCUGAAUGGAGAGAUGGAAAGAAUUUGGCUAGUAGAUGAUGACAUUCUUGAUCCAUGGAAUCAACCAGCCUUGAAAUCUUCUCUACUUCUGGACUUCCUGUCAUGUUAGAGAGUAAAUUUCCUUUCUUGGUGUAUUCCCUUAAGUCAGUUUGAAGUAAGAUUUUUCUAUUACUUGCAUCCAAAGGCAUCAAAACAGAUAACACGUGCUAAGUGCUUAAAUAUAUUCUCUUCUAUCCAGUAAUCCUACAGGUAUAAUUGUUACAGAUGAGGAAAUUGAGACUUAGAUUAAGUAACUUGCUCAAAGCCACAUAGCUAGUAGAACCAUAAUUUCAAAAUGAUGAAUUCAGAGUCCAUGCUUAUAAGCAUUGCUUUCUAUAAUCCAAACCAGUGUUUCACUUUAUAAUAUAUUAGGUGACUUAAGAGUGAUAAAUGUACUUUCUUAAUUUAAUUGGCUUUGAUCAAUAUAAAAAAUUGUUUUUAUUCCUUGUAGAUACUUCUGACCAGGGCAAAGAGAAAUGGGAGGAAAUCAGAUGGGUAACAGAGGGAAGCCAACUUAUUAUCUAAAGUGUUCAACA